UACAGAGGUCCCAAGCGUUGUUCGGAUUCACUGGGCGUAAAGGGUGCGUAGGCGGUCGGGUAAGUCUGAUGUGAAAUCUCACAGCUUAACUGUGAAACUGCAUUGGAUACUAUCCGGCUCGAGGAAUGGAGGGGAGACUGGAAUACUUGGUGUAGCAGUGAAAUGCGUAGAUAUCAAGUGGAACACCAGUGGCGAAGGCGAGUCUCUGGACAUUUCCUGGCGCUGAGGCACGAAAGCCAGGGGAGCAAACGGG
rnacentral:rRNA from 1 species